GAUGAAGAACGUAGCGAAAUGCGAUAAGUAAUGUGAAUUGCAGAAUUCAGUGAAUCAUCGAAUUUUUGAACGCACAUUGCGCCCGCCAGUAUUCUGGCGGGCAUGCCUGUUCGAGCGUCAUUUCAACCCUCAGGCCCCCAGUGCCUGGUGUUGGGGAUCGGCCCAGCCUUCCUGUAAGGCCGCCGGCCCCGAAAUCUAGUGGCGGUCUCGCUGUAGUCCUCCUCUGCGUAGUAGCACAACCUCGCAGUUGGAACGCGGCGGUGGCCAUGCCGUUAAACACCCCACUUCUGAAAGUUGACCUCGGAUCAGGUAGGAAUACCCGCUGAACUUAAGCAUAUCAAUAAGCGGAGGA
rnacentral:misc_RNA from 1 species